AUCGAACGCUGGCGGCAGGCCUAACACAUGCAAGUCGAACGAGUGGCGGACGGGUGAGUAAUGUCUGGGCAACUGCCUGUUGGGGGGGGAUCACUACUGGAAACGGUAGCUAAUACCGCCUUCCAUCGGAUGUGCCCAGAUGGGAUUAGCUAGUAGGUGGGGAAAAGGCUCACCUAGGCGACGACCCCUGGCGGGUCUGAGAGGAUGACCGGACAAACUGGAACGGGGCAACGGUCAAGACGCCUACGGGAGGAAGAAGGGGGGAAUAUUGCACAAUGGGGGCAAGCCGGAGGCAGAAAUGCCGCGGGUGGGAAAAAGGCCUUCGGGUGGAAAAGCACUUUCAGCGAGGAGGCGGUACACGCAGAGGAAGCAACGGCUAACUCCGUGCCAGCCGCCGCGGUAAUAC
rnacentral:rRNA from 1 species